rnacentral:rRNA from 1 species
CACUCCUACGGGAGGCAGCAGUGGGGAAUAUUGCACAAUGGGCGCAAGCCUGAUGCAGCCAUGCCGCGUGUAUGAAGAAGGCCUUCGGGUUGUAAAGUACUUUCAGCGGGGAGGAAGGCGAUAAGGUUAAUAACCUUGUUGAUUGACGUUACCCGCAGAAGAAGCACCGGCUAACUCCGUGCCAGCAGCCGCGGUAAUACGGAGGGUGCAAGCGUUAAUCGGAAUUACUGGGCGUAAAGCGCACGCAGGCGGUCUGUCAAGUCGGAUGUGAAAUCCCCGGGCUCAACCUGGGAACUGCAUUCGAAACUGGCAGGCUAGAGUCUUGUAGAGGGGGGUAGAAUUCCAGGUGUAGCGGUGAAAUGCGUAGAGAUCUGGAGGAAUACCGGUGGCGAAGGCGGCCCCCUGGACAAAGACUGACGCUCAGGUGCGAAAGCGUGGGGAGCAAACAGGAUUAGAAACCCCUGUAGUCCCA